CACGUACUGGGACGCAACGUUUCGAACGUCAUAUACGUCCUGACGUUUGUUUCGGGGAGGGGCUAUUUAUCGUUGUUUUCGAGGCUCGCAACUUCCAUACUCUCCAUUUUGUGACAGCGUUUCAGCCAAACCAAGCAGCGUCCUGUGAAAAAGGGGCUCCAGAGAACGACUAGCCAACGAAUCGCUUGCUUGCCGAGUUAUUAUCCAAAAGCAAAUUAAAUCGUAUCGUAUGUCCGCUAACCGGAACCUCAAAACUUGAGGUGUGCCUGCAAUGGGACAGUAAUCAACUAUGGAGAGUAUGGUGAAGUGAUCCAGUGCAAGAAUAUCUGCGACUGUCAGUGAUUUGUGUUUACUAUAUACACUGAUGAGCCAAACAUGACCAUUCCCAGGUGAACCGAAUAAUGUUGAUCCUCUCCAUAUGUGAGCACAUCUCAAGGUCUGGGUAGAUUAGAUGGUAAAACGAACAAACAGUUCUUGUAGUCAACGUGUUGGAUGCAGGAGAAAUGGGCAGGAGUAAAGACCUGAGUGACUUUGACAAGGGCCAAAUUGUUAUGGCCAGACGACUGGGCCAGAGCAUCUCUGAAACAGCAAGGCUUGUGGGGUGCUCCCGGUCCGCCGUGGUGAGUACCUACCGACAGUGGUCCGAGGAGGGACAAAUCACAAACCGGCGACAGGGCGUUGGACGCCCAAGGCUCAUCGAUGAGCGAGGGCAACGAAGGCUAUCCCGUAUGGUCCGACCCGACAGAAGGUCUACUGUGGCACAAGUCACAGAAAAUUUUAAUGAUGGUUAUGGGAGGAACGUGUCACAACACACAGUGCAUCGCACCCUGCUGCGUAUGGGGCUGCGUAGCCACAGACCGGUUAGCGUCCCCAUGAUGACCCCUGUUCACCGUCAGAAGCGCCUACAAUGGGCACGCGAGCGUCGGAACUGGACCUUGGAGCAGUGGAAGAUGUGGUGUAUUCAGGCGGUGUACUCAGGCUCAAAACGGCAGCCUUCAAUAUCAGACCAUUAAUAUCUGAUGAAAUAUCUCCUUCCAAUGUAUAAUCCUCAAAAUUUGGUUUUUAAUUUACACAUGAGCUCGCCUGCCAGUGUAAUCUGAACACUUCGAUGCUAAAUAGGGGGGCAGUAUUCUAAAAGUAUUCUAAAAUGUAUAAUGUAACCAAUUAGAAUACUGAUGUUUCAAAACGUGACGUGGGUGGAAUACAGAUAAUUCAUUUCUGCAUUCUGAGCACAUUAUACUGUUACUUGUAUUGCCAUCUCGUGUUUUAACAACAAUGGCUUGUGUAAUGUCCAGCAGGUGAAAGAUUUCGUGAAUAAAAUAGUGUUGAUAAGAGACAGAACAGCCACGGUAUCUAGGGAAUCCUCCCAGAUCAAAGACGUCUGGAAACAACUGGUCCAAGCGAUAUAGACAGCCCCGUGGUGUUCUGCACAGUAUGGAUGUGUGGACCAGCCAUUGCUUUAGACACCACUAGGCUAAACAGGCUAAGAGUAGCUGGAGGACUCUUUGAUGGAAAGAAAAGUUAACUGCUUCUAGCAGACACGACAACAAUAUUUGUAAAAGACAAAAAUGAUUCCAUUUAUUUCAAGAGAAGAUAGAUAGGUAGAAUUUAUGGCAAGACACUUUGGUUUAAAAAGCACAGGAAUGAAUUAGUACCUUAAACCUAGCCAUCAGGGAACCAUACUUUCGCUGACGGUCCUAUAGGAAGCAUGUUUUGCCCAAUCAUUCAAGUUUGACACCACUAAACUAGAUUCUUUGGGGAAGGUUCAACAAUUGAAAUGCAUAUAUGUUUGCAAACAUUGAUUGACAAUUUGAUUCUAUUUAAGUGCAUCACAUUUGUUAAAAGUGCUCUUUACUAGUUGAAUCAAGUUGUGGGUUGCAGCAGGCUGUAGCCUGUCCCAGUAUGCGCUAAACAGAGGGCAGAGACACUCUGGGCAUCUGCUCAUCCAUUGUAGGGUCAACACACAGUCACUUACACACCAUUUGCACCAAUGGGCAAUUUAGAGUAUUCACUUCAACCUACAUGCACAUCAGUGGACUGUGGGAGAAAACUGCGAGUCACCAGAGAGAACUACCAACAGAAACUUUCAAACUCUCAGAAGGAGUUGGCUCCAUCACAGGAACCUGUUGCCAUGAAGUAACCUUGCUAACCACUAAGCCCACAUAUGCAGACCUAUCAGUUCUGGUGUUCAAGGUAAACCAAGUGUUUGAAUAAAAGGCAACAGAAAUAAAUUCAAACAGUGAUCCACUUUUUUUCACAAGAUGACGCAGUGUGUAUAUGUGAAGUUUACUACAGUUGUUAGCGUUUAUCAAAUGUUUAAUUCAUGUUUGCUUAUUUAAUGGUUUAAGAAUUUAUGUCGAUGCUCCCUUUGCUCAUAUGUUAAUAAUAAUGAAAUUGGGUCGAUGGCGGUAAGGAUGCGGGUUGCUUUCUGUCACGUCAUACACUCGGAUCUGGUUGUGUGUAAUUACUCAAAAAAACCACUGGUAUUUGAUGAAACUUACAUUGUCCAUCACACCACUGCAUUUGGACUGAUUGAUCCCGGAAGAGUUUACUAUUUUCAUUGUUCACGUGUGUCAUGUGAACAUUGAAAAUAAAUCUGUACUUGCAGCCUCAGUCCCCGGCCACAUGGACGUUUAGCACGUCUAUGUAGGCUGGCAUGUUUAGGCAUACAGAUAGUCUUAAGGUAUUACAGCAAUGGAAAACACUCCCCUUUAUGGGUGUGCAGUGGAACCACUGUAUUUGUAUUUGUUGAGAUAAAUUCAUUUUUAUUUAUUUUUGAUAGAAACCAGAAAUGGGCAGGAUUCAAUUGGUUCCAUACAAAGGAAGUCCUUUUUUAGAUGUAGAUCCAUUGCCAUUGAUAGUUUUUAUAUAUAAUGUGUGUCAUCCAUGAAUAAAACUACAAACUUGCAA